rnacentral:rRNA from 1 species
CCUACGGGAGGCAGCAGUGAGGAAUAUUGGUCAAUGGACGAGAGUCUGAACCAGCCAAGUAGCGUGAAGGAUGACUGCCCUAUGGGUUGUAAACUUCUUUUAUAUGGGAAUAAAACAGGGUAUGCAUACCCUCUUGUAUGUACCAUAUGAAUAAGGAUCGGCUAACUCCGUGCCAGCAGCCGCGGUAAUACGGAGGAUCCGAGCGUUAUCCGGAUUUAUUGGGUUUAAAGGGUGCGUAGGGGGUUUGAUAAGUUAGAGGUGAAAUGUUCGGGCUCAACUGGGGAAAUGCAUUUGAUACUGUCAGUCUAGAGUAUAGGUGAGGUAGGCGGAAUGCGUGGUGUAGCGGUGAAAUGCUUAGAGUUCACACAGAACCCCGAUUGCGAAGGCAGCUUACCAAUCUAUAUCUGACGUUGAGGCACGAAAGCGUGGGAAUCAAACAGGAUUAGAUACCCUUGUAGUC